rnacentral:sRNA from 1 species
GAUUGCAAUGCGCAUCGACGGCAACGUGCGCCGCCCGAUCCGGAAGGCGCCAUGGAACGGAUCUCAAGUGCAGACAGCUUAGGCUCGAUUUUUUCCGGAAAGCUGACAU